rnacentral:rRNA from 1 species
GACGAACGCUGGCGGCGUGCUUAACACAUGCAAGUCGAACGAUGAAGCCGGAGCUUGCUCUGGUGAAUUAGUGGCGAACGGGUGAGUAACACGUGAGUAACCUGCCCUUGACUCUGGGAUAACUGCGGGAAACUGUAGCUAAUACCGGAUACGACCCUCGGAGGCAUCUCCUGGGGGUGGAAAGAAUUUCGGUCAAGGAUGGACUCGCGGCCUAUCAGCUAGUUGGUGAGGUAAAGGCUCACCAAGGCGACGACGGGUAGCCGGCCUGAGAGGGGGACCGGCCACACUGGGACUGAGACACGGACCAGACUCCGACGGGAGGCAGCAGUGGGGAAUAUUGCACAAUGGGCGCAAGCCUGAUGCAGCAACGCCGCGUGAGGGAUGACGGCCUUCGGGUUGUAAACCUCUUUUAGCAGGGAAGAAGCGAAAGUGACGGUACCUGCAGAAAAAGCACCGGCUAACUACGUGCCAGCCGCCGCGGUAA